AUGGACACAGGAAGGGGAACAUCACACUCUGGGGACUGUUGUGGGGUUGGGGGAGGGGGGAGGGAUAGCAUUAGGAGAUAUACCUAAUGCUAAGUGACGAGUUAAUGGGUGACUAUAGUGAUGUAAAAACUUUUCAAAUUGUACUGCUUAUUGUAUGUCAAUUAUACCUCCAUAAAAGUAUAUAAAAUAAUACCUACAUUCGAGGGUCACUGAGAGGGUUAAACUUAGUCCCUGCCUAAGGCUUCCAGGGCAGUUUGAUGAACUACAGCCAAUGGCCUAAUCCAGCUAGAAAAAGUUUUACUGGACUUCAGUCACCCUUAUUUGUUUACGUAUUGUCUAUGUCUGUUUUUGACCUACAAUGGCAGAGUUGAGUAGUAGCCACAUAGAUGAAAUGGCCUACAAAACCUAAAAUACUUGUCAGGCCCUUUACAGAAAACGUAGCUGACUUCUGUUUUAGGAGGCUAAGAAUAUUCUAUAUCUUGAAGUGGAGAUGGUAUAUAAAAAUUCAUAAAUGUAUCCAUUUAGGGUCUAUGCAUGUUAAGUUAUACUUCAAGUUCAAAACAGCGUAAAAUGCCAGGUAAGCCCUGCAUAAACGUCAGCUAUUAUUAAGUGCUCCAUCCUCACUCUAAUUGACAAUUAUUGAAAAGUGUUUUUCAGAGAUGGAGGCAUUUUAAAAUUUAGAAGUCAAGGUGAAUAAACUCCCCUUUAUAUAUACAUCUAUCCUAUUAGUGCUGUCCCUCUAGAGAACCCUGACCAAUACACACGGGUUCAGAUUAGAAUUCAGUAGUUCCCACAUUUGCUGUGUAUCUGACUUACCUAGGGAGCUAGCUAGUUAAUUAGCCCCGACCUUCUGUUUUAAUGUUUUAGCAAGGGGAUCCCAGGAAUCUGUAUUAAAACACAAACAAACCUAGAUAAGCAUGAUGCACACACUAAAGAAACCAGACAUACAUAAUACCAAGUACUGUAAGUAAGUGUUGGACAAUAUCUGCGUGUACAGCCCUGAACUGGAGAAGGUUCGGGGAGAAUGGAUAAGUGUUAGAAUCCUGAACCGACAUUUUAGAGGAAAACAAGUUUUCUUUCCACACAUGAAAUAAAGAGAACAUAAUACAGGUAAUCUGAGACUUGUCACUGAAUAAAUACGACUGCCUUUAUUUUAAACAGACAUUUCCAUUU
rnacentral:lncRNA from 1 species